AGUCACUGGGCUCAUUGGAAUAUUCUCUUUUUAUUGACAUGAAACGUGUUUGCUGAGUCUGGCUGGCCAAGUGAUUCCACAGGGUGAAAAAGAAAAGGCAUUGAAAUAUUCAUCAGGAGAGCUACCCAGUUCCACCGCCAGUUUCCUAGGCAAUGGCAGAGGAAAUGAAAGAUGAGUUUGACAACAUCAGGCUGCUUGGCUCAGAGAAAAUACAAGAUUGCUACAUUCCACAAGUUACUGAAUUUGGGGGAGCGCUGCAUUUGUCCUCUUGAAAUGAUCUGACUCAGCUUCUCUGAAUUUUGUUUUUUUAAAGAACAUAUUAUUCAUCAUUUUGUUCUUAUCUCUGUAGUACAAGGAUAUGGGAUUUGAAAUCACACCGAAGUGCAUUUGAAGCUCACUUGCGUGGUCUUGGAUAAGUUACUUAAACCUCCCUACCUUCAGUUUCCUUAUCUGGAAAACAGAAUACCAUGUUGACCUUGCAGGAUUGUUUAACAGAUUCUCCCUCUAGUUCAAGCUGCUCUCAUGGUGUUCUGUCUCUUACUUGUCCCCCAGUAUGCGUUCUUUCACUAGUAAAGCGUAAAUUCCACCAGGGCAGGUACCGUGUCUCUUUUCCUCACCAUGUGUACCCCCAG
rnacentral:lncRNA from 1 species